CCUACGGGAGGCUGCAGUGGGGAAUAUUGCGCAAUGGGCGAAAGCCUGACGCAGCGACGCCGCGUGAGGGAUGAAGGUCUUCGGAUUGUAAACCUCUGUCAGCAGGGAAGAACAGUCACUGUGCUAAUCAGCAGUGAAUUGACGGUACCUGCAAAGGAAGCACCGGCUAACUCCGUGCCAGCCGCUGACGUAAUACGGAGGGUGCGUGCGUUGAUAGGAAUUACUGGGCGUAAAGCGCUCGUAGGCGGUAUGUCAAGUCAAGGGUGAAAUGCCCGCGCUCAGCGUGGGAACUGCCUUUGAAACUGGCAGACUGGAGUGUGUGAGAGGAUAGUGGAAUUCCAGGUGUAGGGGUGAAAUGCGUAGAUAUCUGGAGGAACAUCAGUGGCGAAGGCGGCUAUCUGGCACAUAACUGACGCUGAGGAGCGAAAGCGUGGGUAGCAAACAGGAUUAGAUACCCCAGUAGUC
rnacentral:rRNA from 1 species